AUGAUGAUGGUUUCAAUGUUCUAUAUGCUAGAUACACAUCAAUUCACCAUGCACAUAAGUUGUUUGAACAAACGCCUCACAAAGAUGUUUAUCUAUGGAACACUUUGCUUGGAAGCUUUUGUUAUGAGGGAGAAUGGGCAUUUGACGCUGACUAAAUUUGAAUUGAGGGUUUGGGUGAUCGGUUUGCAAAAGGUGAUGGUAUUGUAA